rnacentral:rRNA from 1 species
ACUCCUGCGGGAGGCAGCAGUGGGGAAUAUUGGACAAUGGGCGCAAGCCUGAUCCAGCCAUGCCGCGUGAGUGAUGAAGGCCCUAGGGUUGUAAAGCUCUUUCACCGGUGAAGAUAAUGACGGUAACCGGAGAAGAAGCCCCGGCUAACUUCGUGCCAGCAGCCGCGGUAAUACGAAGGGGGCUAGCGUUGUUUGGAUUUACUGGGCGUAAAGCGCACGUAGGCGGACUAUUAAGUCAGGGGUGAAAUCCCGGGGCUCAACCCCGGAACUGCCUUUGAUACUGGUAGUCUUGAGUUCGAGAGAGGUGAGUGGAAUUCCGAGUGUAGAGGUGAAAUUCGUAGAUAUUCGGAGGAACACCAGUGGCGAAGGCGGCUCACUGGCUCGAUACUGACGCUGAGGUGCGAAAGCGUGGGGAGCAAACAGGAUUAGAAACCCCAGUAGUCCCAUGA